rnacentral:lncRNA from 1 species
AGAGCUGGAGCAGAUAUAACAUUAAUACUUGGCAAAUCUGGCUGGUGACUCAAGAAUUAGAGUGAAAACUUACUGUUUUUGCUGCUGACCUCUCAUGCUUUCCUAUGGCACCAGAGCUCUGAUUUUGAAGAACAUCCUUUACAUACCGUCUGCUGAGAUGUCAGUAAAAAUGCCUUAUCCAGACCUGAGGAUCCAGCCAUACUGAG